GGGCUGCGACUCAAUUAGGUCUUGUAGUCUUAGGGUUUUAGAACUAGGAGCUCUCGUAGCCCAGGCUCUUACCUUGUUGUAAUGCUCAAAUGCGGAUUCAGAAUAAGAUCUAUUUUGCUCUCGUUACGAUUUCUUAUUUUUCUCGUCUUUAUUUCGUGUUCUGAUUGCUUUGCGUGUGGUUUAGCAGAUUUCUGGGACCUCUAGGAAAUUAUGGUUUUCCUAACUUUACUUAUUUACACGGAAAUCGACAGUGCGAAUUUCGGUUCCCACAAUGUUGUUGCAUACAUCGAUCGAUGCGGAUGCUUUUGGUCGACGGGCAAUGUAACUCUGAAUCUCCACACUUUCCCCUUGCAUAGCUUCAAUCUUGGAAGUCAAAGCACUGAUGCUAAGAUCCAUUGGGAAAUAUAUGUCAUCACAUAUCCCAUCAAGCCUCUCUUCUGUAGUGUCUAGAGCUCUAUAGAUCUCUUCUACCAACUGAUCUAUCUCUUACCUGGUGUGAAAGUUUUGUGGAGACUUCAUCGGAUGUGAGUAUGGUGGACUGUUGUCGACCGAUGCUGGUAAGCCUUGGUCGAUCGAUGUUGGUAAGCGACUAUCUAUCGAUGCAUGUUGUCUUCUGUCGAUCGAU
rnacentral:lncRNA from 1 species